AGUACCACAGAAAUAUUCAAGUUUAGAAACUGGUCUUGUUGUUGGAAUGACGUUUCUUGGUAUCUUCAUCGGCAUCCUUUUGUCUUUAUCUGCAUUCCUCAUCCACGGAAAAAUAAGGGCUUCAAAGGCACAGGAAAGCAAAGUAACCUCCUGCAAUAUGGAUCAACAGGCGGUAUAUAUGUCGUAUGGUGAGCCGAGUGCAGAGAACAAGACGUAUGAAGAUCUACAGUGGAUUGAUGAUAACCCAGUCGUUUAUUAAAAUGUAAAACCAAAAAAAUAGAAUACUUAAUUUUUAUGUGUAUAUUUAGCACUGAACGGAUCAAGCAGACUGCAAUAGACAUCCCCACCCUCCAUAACACUAAUAUCAGCAUUUUCACGUUUAUAAAAAAUCUUAAAAAAUCAUUCACUCAUUGAUAAAACAAUUAUUUGCACAUAUUUUGCACAGUAUUAUUAUUUACAAGCCUCUGGCUUCCUGUAAGUAAUAUGCCAUUUGCGUUGUUUGUUUAACAUCUGUAUUCAGUGACUGAAAAUGAAAUGAAAUAAAGAUACUCUUAAACAGAUAAUAG